CCUACGGGAGGCAGCAGUGGGGGAUAUUGCACAAUGGGGGGAACCCUGAUGCAGCGACGCCGCGUGGGUGAAGAAGCGCCUCGGCGCGUAAAGCCCUGUCAGCAGGGAAGAAAAUGACGGUACCUGAAGAAGAAGCCCCGGCUAACUACGUGCCAGCAGCCGCGGUAAUACGUAGGGGGCAAGCGUUAUCCGGAUUUACGGGGUGUAAGGGGGGCGCAGACGGCGAUGCAAGCCAGGAGUGAAAGCCCGGGGCCCAACCCCGGGACUGCUCUUGGAACUGCGGGGCGGGAGUGCAGGAGGGGCAUGCGGAAUUCCUGGUGGAGCGGGGAAAUGCGUAGAUAUCAGGAGGAACACCGGUGGCGAAGGCGGCCUGCUGGACUGCAACUGACGUUGAGGCCCGAAAGCGUGGGGAGCAAACAGGAUUAGAUACCCCAGUAGUC
rnacentral:rRNA from 1 species